GAUAAAUCUAAAUAUUAGACAAUAUUAUAACUUCACUAAAUCUCUACAGCCAUUUAUUAUCAAUGCUUUUAAUUAUUAUAAUAAUAAGUUUUCUUACAAAAAUGGAAAAUAUAAAGAUGAAAGUGGGCAUACCAAGAGCGAUCCCGUCUGCAUCUUCAUAAUAUCUUGCCGUAUUUCCUCGGAUAUGUUCUUGUCCAGCUGCAGGAAGCAUAAUGAUUAUUGAUAGUUGAUUUGUGAUUAAUUUGGAGAAAUCAAAUCAAUCAUGCAGUACUACUGCAAAACAAAUCUCUUGCAUAUAAUUGAUCAUAAAAAAUCACACAUACACGUGUAUGUGUAUAUAUAUACAGACACACACUAAUCGUGGAAAAUUAGAACUUGAUAGAUAAUUAAUUAAAUUGCAGGAAGGAUCCAUCACUAUUUAAGCAAAUAAGUAAUUAAUUAAGAAGUGUAGAAACGCUUAAUUAUAUGCGCCCAUAUUCAAUGAAAAAUUAACGUAAAUAAAAGAUUUUUUUUAUCUAAAUUUAAUUUAAUAUGAAUUUAAAA
rnacentral:misc_RNA from 1 species